rnacentral:lncRNA from 1 species
CUAAAGCUAACUGGUUUGGGAAUUAUCGGCCUAAAGCUCGUUACAGGGGUAAUAUAGAAAGCAAGAAAAAGGAGAAGUUGACAAAAAUUCAUCUUAUCGAGCCUUUAUAACUCGGGUGAAUAAGGCUGCAAGGGUUUAAAACCUAGUGCCCUAAGACCAACUGGUUUGGGAGUCAUCGCCUAAAACCCGUUACACGGGUUAUAUAGAAAGCAAAUGAGAAGAUGAGAAAAAAAAAUUUUGAAAAAAAAGGGGGGCCCUUGUUGGACAUUUGGUUAAUAUAACUUUAACCUUGAUGCGAGGUAAGUAGCUUAGUUUGAGCCUGAAGGUUGAAACAAUAAAAUUAAAGAGAGUCUCUACUUGUUGAUAUGUACACUUGUAAGGGUAAAAUCUAUCCAAACUAAGAGAGGGUAAGGAUUAUAGUUGUUAAACUCCCAAUCUUAGAACACACCCCGAGAUAUUAGAGUGAAAAGAAUAAGUUUGGGGGGUUGUGUAUCUUUCGAGUGAUGCAAGGAUAAAUUGACCACUAUGGGUCGGGAAUAAACCAUUCAUAAGCUUGAUAUGUUGGCAUGAGUUCACACACACACGUUGAGUAUUGCAAUUGAUGAGUAAAGGUUAAUUUUAUUCUCGCACUAUUGAUAUCGUUUUAUUGUUAAUGCUAAGUUCCAAUCCUGAGACACGGCAAGCUAUUAAGCCAUGUUUGUUAAGCAUUGAGUCACUGCAUUGUUUGAGGACAAACAGUAGUUUAAGUUUGGGGGAUUUGAUAAGUAUGUUUUUACACACUUAUUUGGUUCACAAACAUGACUUAAACAUGGAUAAAAUGAUUGAAUUGUGACUUAAUCUCAUUGAAUUCAUGCAAUGUAGGUGUUUCUAUGGAAAUAGUGGAAUUCAGGAGAAGAGAGCCGAAAAAGG